UUUCUCCCCGAAUCGAAAGUUCUAUAGCUAAAUGUCCCCGAAUCUGGGUUAUAUCGGUUUGUGCUUUAAACCCAAAGUAAACCGUAUACCAAACCACUAAUAUUUGAUUCUCAACUGAAUUUAAACAUGACCCAGCCGUAAAUGCUCCGAUAUCAUCUUCUUCUUCACCGGAUUCUUCAAACAACAAAAACAAUCUUGAAAAAUUUGAUAUCAAAAUUACAAAAGCUCAUUGGAGAAAUUCAUUGUAAUUAACCAAUAAUCAAAUUCGAUGGUAAUAAACUUACAACAUCCUCUCCCUAUAGCCACCAAAUCAUAUCAGUUAAAUCGCCGGAAUUCGUAAUCGACAACGACUGCAAUCCUCCACAUAAAGCUACGCCGUCGAACCUCCAUUCUGUCCUAGUGUCAAUGUUCUUAGCUUCUUGCAUUUAGAAUUCUAUGCCUCUAAAGCUACACCACUAUGCUUCACAUCACAUCCUUCACUAUGUCAAGAACCAGCUCCUCUAGAUUCGGUAAAACUGAGAAAACCUCGAUUAGCAUCUCCGCCGUGACAGCACAAUCUCCAGCUUCUUCACUCGUUUUCUUCUUCAACAAUGUUGACAUUCUCACAUCCACUCAUCUCUAACCAUCAAGGUUCAAUCAAGGAUACAAUUCCAACAAACAACCUCCGGAUCUCCGACGGCGUCUUCUUCCCACACAAACGACGGCGGUCUCAACAAACGUAAGAUUAUCUCAAACAAGAUCAGAUCGUUGGAGAAACUUAUGCCAUGGGAAAGAAAAAUGAGUUUAGCAAUGAUUCUAAAAGAAUCGAAUUUGAUUACAGGUCGAGAUGGUGUUGAUGGGAUAUGCUCUCAUUUUUUUAAUUUGAUUGAAUGUGGUCUUGAUUGUUUUAAAAAGUAGUGAAUUUGCUUUACAUUUUGAUUUGAAUCAUCAAGAUCCACCUUUGUGUUGAUUUGAUUUGUUAAUUACGGACAAAUUUGUGUCUAUGAUGUGGCUCUGUUUGUGGUUUACCAUUGGGGUUUCGGCACUAUGAAGCUAAAUUUUUUUUUUUA